rnacentral:rRNA from 1 species
UUCCCCUAGUAACUGCGAGUGAAGCGGGAAAAGCUCAAAUUUAAAAUCUGGCAGCCUUUGGUUGUCCGAGUUGUAUUCUGGAGAAGUGUUUUCCGUGCUGGACCGUGUACAAGUCUCUUGGAACAGAGCGUCAUAGAGGGUGAGAAUCCCGUCUUUGACACGGACUACCAGUGCUUUGUGAUGCGCUCUCAAAGAGUCGAGUUGUUUGGGAAUGCAGCUCAAAAUGGGUGGUGAAUUCCAUCUAAAGCUAAAUAUUGGCGAGAGACCGAUAGCGAACAAGUACCGUGAGGGAAAGAUGAAAAGCACUUUGGAAAGAGAGUUAAACAGUACGUGAAAUUGCUGAAAGGGAAACGCUUGAAGUCAGUCGUGUUGUCCGGGACUCAGCCUUGCUUUUGCUUGGUGCAUUUUCCGGUUGACAGGCCAGCAUCAAUUUUGACUGUUGGAAAAGGGCCAGGGUAAUGUGGCACCUUCGGGUGUGUUAUAGACUUUGGUCACAUACAGCAGUUGGGAUUGAGGAACGCAGUGCGCCGCAAGGCAGGGGUUCGCCCACUUUCGCACUUAGGAUGCUGGCAUAAUGGCUUUAAACGACCCGUCUUGAAACACGGACCAAGGAGUCUAACAUACCUGCGAGUGUUUGGGUGGUAAACCCGAGCGCGUAAUGAAAGUGAAAGUUGAGACCUCUGUCGUGGAGGGCAUCAACGCCCGGACCUGACGUUCUCUGAAGGAUCCGCGGUAGAGCAUGCAUGUUGGGACCCGAAAGAUGGUGAACUAUGCCUGAAUAGGGUGAAGCCAGAGGAAACUCUGGUGGAGGCUCGUAGCGAUUCUGACGUGCAAAUCGAUCGUCAAUUUGGGUAUAGGGGCGAAAGACUAAUCGAAUCAUCUAGUAGCUGGUUCUGCCGAAG